UCUAUUGCAAAUGAUUCGAUCCUUUCUAUUGCAAGUGUUCCGAUCCUUCCUAUUGCAAGUUUUCUAAUCUUUCCUAUUGCAAGUGUCCUGAUCUUUCCUUAUUGCAAUUUUAUCUCUACAUUUGCUUUGAAUAUGAGGAACUUUGAAUUGUUCUAGCCUUGCAUUUGAUAUAUCUCCUGUUUAGACGUAACGAUUCGAAUCUGUGCAACUUCUGAGAUUCUGACCUUUUAAUAUCGAACUGCCUAUAAGUCUUUGUUGGAAACUCUGAUUUGUUCAAAACUAAUUUCAUUGGAAACUAGACUCGUAGAUCUUUCUUUUGAUAUAUGGAUUGAAAGAUUUGGAAUCCAAACAACUGCCCAGUUAUCUAUUGAAUCUGACCUUAUGAAUCCUGCCAAACAGAGAUUUUGUUCUCCGACCCUUGUUUACCAAAUUAUUUGUAACUCUCUCUAUUGGACAGUUCAAUUCAUAUGAAGCCUGUCCUAUCUGAAAGUAUAAUCCAAUGAUAUAUUUUUGAGUAAAUUGGAGCACGAUUGAUAGUUUGAAUCAUUUGUUCAAUGUGCCUCUUGUAUUCUGCCAGAAAUCGAGCUUUGGUCGAUUUCUCAUAUUCUGGUUUUAUUCCUUUGGAAAUUGAUAUCCUUUAGCUUUCUUAUUCAAUUGAGCUUUAUAUUACUGCUUUGAAUUCUUGUAUGCUCUUGUCCUUAAAGUUAUUUGCAUUCUUGAAAACUAUUGUGUAACGUUUAUGCUAUAUCGUAUUGACUCAUAUAGGCACAUGUGUAUCCCAUUGUUCCGCAUUUGCUUUCGAUAUGUGCCUAUUCCAUUUCCUUUCAAAUCUGAAUACCAUUGUGAAAGAUUAUUGCUUACUUCAUAUUGACUCGUAAAGGCACAUGUACGUUUUGUUGUUCCGCAUGUGCUUCUGAUAUGUGUUGUUUAUUGUUCAUACUGCCCUUUUGUACUCUGGUGUUUGUGGGAUUUGUGAACCUUUGCCAGAAAUGGUAAAGGGAGUUAUGCAUAGAGCCUGCGAUGCUCUGCCGGCCCCCUCUGACUUCACCUAGACGUGGGUGGAUGGAGCUCCCAGACGUGGGAGACUUCUGUUUGGUGGUCAUUCAGAAAUGGAUGAAUCACAUUCUGUCUGUG
rnacentral:lncRNA from 1 species